GCAUCAUUUCCUGUGACGUCACGAGAAGUGAACGCUUGCAAAGUCUCGGAUGUUUUGGGUAGUUUCGGAUUACAGCCUCUAAUCUGUCCAUAAUCGGAAUCAUCGAGGAAUUUCGGGUGGUGCUCAUCAUUCCUUGAUCAUUUGACUUUCUUCUUCGAUCCAGUAGACUUGCAAAUUUUUGACAAGAUGGUGAUCAAGGUCUACGUCACGAACAUUUGCAGCAGUAUGCGGCUUAAGAAAGAGAUGCUGCACGUGACGGACAUUCUCUCCAGCAUGAAUAUACCCAUGGAGACAAUUGACAUCUCCGAUCCCUCCAAAGAGGAAGACAAGAAGUUUAUGAGGGCAAAUGCAGAACCAAAGGAAGGAAUGAAGAACCCCUUGCCACCACAGAUCUUCAGUGAUGAUGAGUACUGUGGGGGCUAUGAUCGCUUUUAUGAUGCUGUGGAAUCAAACGGCAUAUACGUUUUUCUGAAGAUGGCUGACAAAAUUGAAGUAUCACAAGCACAGAUAGAGGUUGCAGAAGAGGAAGAGAAAAAAGAAAAGGAGAAGGAUGAAGACAAGGAGAAGGGAGAAAAGGAUGCUGAGGAGGACAAGGAAGACAAGCCUGAUGGAGAGAAGAAAGAAGAAACAAAGGAAGAAGAAAAGAAACCUAAGAAAUUUCGUAGACCAUUUGAUGACAGUGAUGAAGAGGAAACUCCAGCAGAAGAAAAGAAGGAGGAAGAGAAGGAGGAAGAGAAGGAGGAACCUAAAAAGCUGAAGAAAUUCCGCAGGCCGUUUGAUGACAGUGAUGAAGAAGAAACUCCAGCAGAGGAAGAAAAGAAGGAAGAGGAAAAGAAAGAGGAAGAGAAGGAGGAACCUAAAAAGCUGAAGAAAUUCCGCAGGCCGUUUGAUGACAGUGAUGAAGAAGAAACUCCAGCAGAGGAAGAAAAGAAGGAAGAGGAAAAGAAGGAGGAAGAAAAGAGAGAGGAGGAGGAGCCCAAGAAACCAAAGAAAUUCCGUAGGCCGUUUGAUGACAGUGAUGAUGAAGAAACUCCAGCAGAGGAAGAAAAGAAGGAAGAGGAAAAGAAAGAGGAAGAGAAGGAGGAACCUAAAAAGCUGAAGAAAUUCCGCAGGCCGUUUGAUGACAGUGAUGAAGAAGAAACUCCAGCAGAGGAAGAAAAGAAGGAGGAAGAAAAGAAAGAGGAGGAGGAGCCCAAGAAACCAAAGAAAUUCCGUAGGCCGUUUGAUGACAGUGAUGAAGAAGAAACUCCAGCAGAGGAAGAAAAGAAGGAAGAGGAAAAGAAAGAAGAAGAAAAGAAAGAAGAAGAAAAGAAAGAAGAAGAAAAGAAAGAAGAGGAGGAGCCCAAGAAACCCAAGAGAUUCCGUAGGCCAUUUGAUGACAGUGAUGAAGAAGAAACCCCAGCAGAGGAAGAAAAGAAGGAAGAAGAAAAGAAGGAAGAGGAAAAAAUAGAAGAAAAGAAAGAAGAGGAGGAGCCCAAGAAACCCAAGAGAUUCCGUAGGCCAUUUGAUGACAGUGAUGAAGAAACUCCAGCAGAAGAAGAUAAGAAGGAGGAAGAAAAGAAAGAGGAGCCACCUAAAGUAGAGGAGAAAGAGGAACCUCCAAAAGAAGAAAAGAAAGAGGAACCUCCAAAAGAAGAAAAGAAAGAGGAGUCAAAGGAAGAAGAUGAAGUAAAGAAACCUAAAAGGUUCAGGCGACCAUUUGAUGAUAGUGACGAAGAAGAAAAACCUGAAGAAAAGAAAGAGGAGCCUGUUAAGGAACCAGAAGAGGAAAAGAAUGAGGAAGAGCCUGCAAAGGAACCGGAAGAGGAAGAAGUGAAGAAGCCACGAGGGUUUAGGAGAGCUUAUGAGGAUGAUGAAGAUGAGACACCAAAAGUUGAGGAGAAGGAAGAACCAAAAAAAGAAGAACCAGUGGAGGAGAAAAAGGAGGAAGCUGAACCUGUUGAAGAUGACCGUGAAGCCAGACGUCGGAAGAGGCGAGAGGAGAGAGCCAAGCAGGAUGCUGCUGAAGCAGAGCCUGCGGAAGAUGACCUGGAAGCUAGGCGGAGAAAGCGCCGAGAGGAGAGAGAGAAGGAGACUGAGACUGAUGAGAGUCAAGAGGACGACCGUGCAGCCAGGAGGAGGAGGAGAAGGCAGAUGAUGGGACUGGAGGACUAGGAGCAAACCGAUGUACAGACAGAGUGCCAGGACUGAUUCAUGGUGCCUCAAGUUCUUAAGCCAGCAAGGACUGUGGAGUCAACAUUUCAUGCUGUCUGUAGACGUGGCUCUGAUAACUCCGGUAGCCGUCAUCACAUUGCACAAACUCAUGUGACCUUCACCUAUGACACUGUGAUGCCAACAAACAACUCAUGAUUGCAUGACAAGAUAUUUGUGACGUCGGAUUGUUUAUAUUGAUAUAUAAGUACUUGAGCAGGAUUAUCAUAAUUGGAAUUGACUAACUCUGCUUGUGGACCUGGUGAGUGUAGAACUGUUCAUUCUUGAAAACAUGCUCAGCAUCCAGACAAGUUGCAAAAACAAACAUUAAUUUGACAACAGUAUAGCAACCUUUACAACUCAACUCAUGAUGAAAAGGCAAAAAAUGAGUGUUUUCCUUCUUGGAAAAAGUGUGAGCUGACAUUCAACAAUGUACAGGCCUCAUCCCAGUUCUAGUGUAAGGCUUGUUGCUUGGCCAUGGUUUGUACUGUGAUUGCUAUUGGUCCUGUGUGUGAACUACAGCAGCUUGGGACUCUGCAAGCUGCUCAUUCCAGGCGUAAGUGUGUCCAACUAUUUUACACAUGCUAUGCAUUUGUGCAGACCUUAGAAAAAACCAAAUGGCAAAUACUUGACACAGAAAUUCACUUGAAUCUGCAUGCAAUGUGUUAAGGAGCAUUAUUGUCUAACAUUUGAAUAGAAAUAUCUUUCAAAUGUUAAGAACUAUUUUCAAAAGUAUUAUUAGUAUUUUGAUAUCAUCACCCAGCACUGAAGACACCAUUAUUUGAAAGACACAAAGUAUUUCUAUGUGAAUCACCUGUACAGGAAAUACUCAUUAUUACAUACAAAUUCUAACUAAAAUCUAAAAAAGUAGAUAAAUAUUGAAACAGCACACUUAACUAUAACUAUAUUGGGAAACCUGAACAAUAGACUGACUUAAGUCUGGUGAAAGCACUAGCAAUGAGAACACUUCAACAACACAGUAGUCACAUGUUGUUUAUUCCUCUAGAGCAUUAUCAUCAUCAGAAGGAGCAAUAUUCAAACAUUCAGGUCACACAGAUUGUAUGUUUGCCUUGUGCAGAAAUGUAAGGUGGAUUUGUUUCUAUUCUUUAUGCUAUUUUGAUGAUGUGUGUCUUUAUACUGCUGAGAUUAUCAACAAGGAUCCCCACCUAUUGUGCAUUGUUUGUCAGGAAAUGGGCAGUACUACAGCAAGAUGGGAUUUUCUGUUAAGGGACCAACCAUUUGAUAUCCGGGGGAUUUUGUUUUACAAAUAAUUUGCUCCAGAAAAUUAUCAAAAACGUUAUUUGUUUGUUCGACAUGCUGGAGGUCCUGAAAAAUAUGUGUUUUGGAAAUUUCAUUUGAAGCAGUCAUUGAAAUAUUGAAAUUUACUGUCUGUAACCAAUGCUAACAGAAAUUCUCCUCCUCCCCCUCGAAUAUGAAAUGGUUUGAUCCCAAUUGUUUGCUGGUAUGAAAUAUAUGAAAGUUACAACCCGACACAGUGUUGUUGAAAACCAUACUGGAUACUCAUGGUGGUAUGAUAUUUAUAUUUUAGUGUAAUAUGUGAAAUGGAUGUUUUUGUUUGUCCACUGUUACCAUGGUUCCUGUUGCCAUGAUGCAAUUCUCUACGCAAGGUCUCUUGUUUUAGCAAUACUAGCAAUCUACUACCACAGGCUGUUCAACACUACACAAGCAUUGCUCCUUGAAUGUCUAUUUUUGUAUCUGAAUAUCCAUCUAGAUUGCAUUUGCAGUGCAAUCAUUCUUUCUUUUCUGCACAGCACCUUCUUUGAUGUAUUACCCCAACAAGAAUAAUGGUCUCAACAAGUGCUUGUUUCUGUAAUUGAUCUUAUCUUGAUAUAGUUUCAACCAUCAACUGUUGCCUUCAUGGGUAACCACAGUAACCAUGGCCAACUUCAGAUGUCAUCACUUUUGGUGAAAGAUGAUUUAUCCUGAUCAUUUGUCCAGGUUGUCCAUUCUGUGAUAUAACUGAAAUACUGGUAUAAGCGGAGUUAAAACAAACUCACUCACUUUUGUGAAAGGUUAGCAUGUCUCCAUAGGUCUCCAGCAACCUAUGCUGGUUGUAAGAGAUGAUUUAGGUCAGGCUCGGUGACCUGGUUCAUUGUGUGCCACCGUACCCCGAUAGCAUGGAUAAUUGCUCAUAAUACCAAUCACGAGAUUGUCUGGUUCAGACACAAUUAUUUACUGGUCACCAUCAUACAGCUGGAAUAUUGCUAAGUGUGGCAUUUAAGGUAAACAAGAUAUAAACUAGACAUGAUUAUGGCUAGUAUGAGUCCAUUAUUCUGAAGGGGAAGCUGCUGUGGUAUUGUGUAGUGCUGUAGUGCACUGUAGUUCCUGCCGCUGCUGUUGUUGCAGCACUAGUAUUGAGCCCACUCACUUGUUGAUGUUGCCAUAUAAACUAGUUUAUGUUUGCUAUGUGAUGUUAUACUAGAGAACAUAAAACUAGUUAAUGUAACACUAGUCAAUGUUAUACUAGUUCCUGUUAUGCCAGUUUUACUUGCACUAUUUGUUUUGUUUGUCUGUCUGUCACCACAGAGUUUAAUAUAUAUUAUCAUUGUCCUGCCAUGAACUACAACCACACUUAAUCAUGAGUAUUGGAAACCCAAGUUUCAGCAAGAUUAUGUCGUGCGGUGACAUGUAAGAAAUCAAUACUGUAAGUGAAGUUUAGGCCUAUGUAUGCAAUUAAAAUUGGAAUAUUUACAAGUAAAUAUGUUUGUACUGAUAUGUUCAGUAUUGUUGAUGGGCAUAUUCAUAUGGUUGUGCUCAAUAUUUAUGAUUAGUGAUAAGAAGUAAUAUGAAUUAUUUUGAAACUAAUUUAUUAAGCCUUAUGACAUUUGAUCCAAGUAAUGGGAUGCUUAUUUUAGACUGCUUUUGUGUAGAUUGUACUGAUGCAAUGUUAUUUUUACCUUGUCAGCAAUGUUUUACUUUUAGUUUUAGUCCCCAAUGAAGCCAGUAACAAUGUCUAGUGUUAACAUUUGAGUAUGCAUGAAAUGCAGUGGAUGUUUUCUACAGUCUGAUGGUCUUGUGAUGGAUACAGUACACUAUUCUCAAUCUAGUUGAAAAUAUCACAGCAUCAAGAUGCUCAUUUAUAGAAACAGAAGCACUAGCCCAAGCCAGUUUCACCAAUGUUAAAGGUAUCUGAAGGACAUGAAUUUUGAACACUUUAGAUGUGAUUAUAUAUAUCACUAUUGGGGCUAGUAAGCUUAUAAGUGCAAUAACCUUAACGUUAAAAAAUAUCUCAUCUCGCUUCACAGGUUAAAUUCUAUUUCUAGGUUGUAGGAUUAUGUUUGAUUUUUUAAUUUUAUUUCCCUCUCCUCUUACCCACUUUUGUUUGAUGCAGGAUGACUUGAAUUUGAAUUUAAAAUGAACUUCAUGUUUGUGGUAAAAUACAUCUUUGUCAAGAUAUUCUAAAAUGUGUUAUAGACAAUUUAAGACCUUACUUUGAAUAUGCCUCACAACCAUGAGGUAAUGUCUGAAGCAAGAACCACAUAUCAAGAAGUCUUUGUGAUCGUGUGUAGCAGCUGUAGGGUGUGGCUGUCAUCCCAGCAUGCUUUGCAAUCUCAUUAAAAUAAGAUCGUUUACUCCAUUAUGAGCGACUGUGCUUGUCGUAAGAGGCGACUAACAGGAUCGGGUGGUCAAGCUUGCUGACUUGUUUGAUGCAUGCCAUCGAUCCUAAAUGUGUGGGUUGCAGGACAACUUCACUGUCAAGUUAAAAACAGUAAUCAGUGCUAAGGUUUUUUGUCAAAUUUUCUACAGCCUGGCAGGUAGGAUUACUGAUAAAUUUACCUAUUUCCGACAGAAAUGUUGUAAGCCACAGGAUAGCCAGCAGGCAGUUGUUUUGGACACUGGUUCCAAAUGUAAAAUAUAAUGUAGAAUACAUUAUGUUGGAGAUUUUAUGCACCCUUUUAUUUCUAAGUGUAUGGUGGUAACAUUUCGGAGUAAAAGAUCUGAUCUUAACGAGAUUGGAAUGCUUUACAACUUUAUCAGUGUGUGUGCGAGUGUAUCUGAUUUUGUGGUGCUAGCCGUAUUGGUCAGUCUCCACCUCUUGACUCUCACAUCUCAACAUCACAGCAGGCAACAAAGAUUAUCAGUUGACCUUAAAGGACAAAAGUUCUUUUGUAUACUGUAGCUGCCAUUCAAAGUUACAGAUAUGAUUUGAAGUUUUGUCACAUGAAUAUAAUCUGAAUAUGAAUUUGGUUCUGGAGUAAACUAAGUUGAAGACAUUCAUGGUAUAUGACAUUUUCCACCAGUUCAAGGUACAGGUGUAUUGUUUGGUGUGUAGGCUUAGAGAUCUUCAUCAGUGUGGAGAAGGUGUGACCUGUUUUACACGAAGCUGUUAAUAUUCUUACUUACUGUGUAAAUUAUUACUAUUCCAUUAAACCUUUUAUGCCAUGA
rnacentral:misc_RNA from 1 species